rnacentral:rRNA from 1 species
GAGGAAUAUUGGUCAAUGGACGAGAGUCUGAACCAGCCAAGUAGCGUGAAGGAUGACUGCCCUAUGGGUUGUAAACUUCUUUUAUACGGGAAUAAAGUGAGGCACGUGUGCCUUUUUGUAUGUACCGUAUGAAUAAGGAUCGGCUAACUCCGUGCCAGCAGCCGCGGUAAUACGGAGGAUCCGAGCGUUAUCCGGAUUUAUUGGGUUUAAAGGGAGCGUAGGCGGACGCUUAAGUCAGUUGUGAAAGUUUGCGGCUCAACCGUAAAAUUGCAGUUGAUACUGGGUGUCUUGAGUACAGUAGAGGCAGGCGGAAUUCGUGGUGUAGCGGUGAAAUGCUUAGAUAUCACGAAGAACUCCGAUUGCGAAGGCAGCUUGCUGGACUGUAACUGACGCUGAUGCUCGAAAGUGUGGGUAUCAAACAGGAUUAGAUACCCUGGUAGUCCACACAGUAAACGAUGAAUACUCGCUGUUUGCGAUAUACAGUAAGCGGCCAAGCGAAAGCGUUAAGUAUUCCACCUGGGGAGUACGCCGGCAACGGUGAAACUCAAAGGAAUUGACGGGGGCCCGCACAAGCGGAGGAACAUGUGGUUUAAUUCGAUGAUACGCGAGGAACCUUACCCGGGCUUGAAUUGCAACUGAAUGAUGUGGAGACAUGUCAGCCGCAAGGCAGUUGUGAAGGUGCUGCAUGGUUGUCGUCAGCUCGUGCCGUGAGGUGUCGGCUUAAGUGCCAUAACGAGCGCAACCCUUAUCGAUAGUUACCAUCAGGUUAUGCUGGGGACUCUGUCGAGACUGCCGUCGUAAGAUGUGAGGAAGGUGGGGAUGACGUCAAAUCAGCACGGCCCUUACGUCCGGGGCUACACACGUGCUACAAUGGGGGGUACAGAAGGCAGCUACACGGCGACGUGAUGCUAAUCCCGAAAGCCUCUCUCAGUUCGGAUUGGAGUCUGCAACCCGACUCCAUGAAGCUGGAUUCGCUAGUAAUCGCGCAUCAGCCACGGCGCGGUGAAUACGUUCCCG